rnacentral:tRNA from 1 species
UUAUAAAUAGUGUAGUAUAAAACACAUUAACUUUUCAAGUUAAAGAUAUUGAGACAAUUUUAU